UGGGGAAUAUUGCACAAUGGGGGAAACCCUGAUGCAGCGACGCCGCGUGAGCGAAGAAGGUUUUCGAAUCGUAAAGCUCUGUCCUAUGGGAAGAUAAUGACGGUACCAUAGGAGGAAGCCCCGGCUAACUACGUGCCAGCAGCCGCGGUAAUACGCAGGGGGCAAGCGUUGUCCGGAAUCACUGGGCGUAAAGGGUUCGCAGGCGGAAAUGCAAGUCAGUUGUGAAAGGCAGAGGCUCAACCUCUGUAAGCAAUUGAAACUGUAUUUCUUGAGAUGUGGAGAGGCAAGUGGAAUUCCUAGUGUAGCGGUGAAAUGCGUAGAUAUUAGGAAGAAUACCGGUGGCGAAGGCGACUUGCUGGACACAAACUGACGCUGAGGAACGAAAGCGUGGGUAGCAAACAGG
rnacentral:rRNA from 1 species